CAGUAGCCACGGUAAAACGUAGGUGGCAAGCGUUGUCCGGAAUUAUUGGGCGUAAAGGGCUCGCAGGCGGUUUCUUAAGUCUGAUGUGAAAGCCCCCGGCUCAACCGGGGAGGGUCAUUGGAAACUGGGAAACUUGAGUGCAGAAGAGGAGAGUGGAAUUCCACGUGUAGCGGUGAAAUGCGUAGAGAUGUGGAGGAACACCAGUGGCGAAGGCGACUCUCUGGUCUGUAACUGACGCUGAGGAGCGAAAGCGUGGGGAGCGAACAGGAUUAGAUACCCGCGUAGUCCCUGUCUCUUAUAC
rnacentral:rRNA from 1 species